rnacentral:rRNA from 1 species
GAUGAACGCUGGCGGCGUGCCUAAUACAUGCAAGUCGAGCGAAUGGAUUAAGAGCUUGCUCUUAUGAAGUUAGCGGCGGACGGGUGAGUAACACGUGAGUAACCUGCCCAUAAGACUGGGAUAAUUCCGGGAAACCGGGGCUAAUACCGGGUAACAUUUUGAACCGCAUGGUUCGAAAUUGAAAGGCGGCUUCGGCUGUCACUUAUGGAUGGACCCGCGUCGCAUUAGCUAGUUGGUGGGGUAACGGCUCCACAAGGCAACGAUGCGUAGCCGACCUGAGAGGGUGAUCGGCCACACUGGGACUGAGACACGGCCCAGACUCCUACGGGAGGCAGCAGUAGGGAAUCUGCCGCAAUGGACGAAAGUCUGACGGAGCAACGCCGCGUGAGUGAUGAAGGCUUUCGGGUCGUAAAACUCUGUUGUUAGGGAAGAACAAGUGCUAGUUGAAUAAGCUGACACCUUGACGGUACCUAACCAGAAAGCCACGGCUAACUACGUGCCAGCCGCCGCUGUAA